ACCUUCGUGGUGUAGUGUUCAGCACGCUCGACGCGUAUUCGAGAGGUCCGUGGUUCGAGUCCCGGCGAGGGCC
rnacentral:tRNA from 1 species